GAUGAACGCUGGCGGCGUGCCUAAUACAUGCAAGUCGAGCGAAUGGAUUAAGAGCUUGCUCUUAUGAAGUUAGCGGCGGACGGGUGAGUAACACGUGGGUAACCUGCCCAUAAGACUGGGAUAACUCCGGGAAACCGGGGCUAAUACCGGAUAACAUUUUGAACCGCAUGGUUCGAAAUUGAAAGGCGGCUUCGGCUGUCACUUAUGGAUGGACCCGCGUCGCAUUAGCUAGUUGGUGAGGUAACGGCUCACCAAGGCAACGAUGCGUAGCCGACCUGAGAGGGUGAUCGGCCACACGGGGACUGAGACACGGCCCAUACUCCGACGGGAGGCAGCAGUAGGGAAUCUUCCGCAAUGGACGAAAGUCUGACGGAGCAACGCCGCGUGAGUGAUGAAGGCUUUCGGGUCGUAAAACUCUGUUGUUAGGGAAGAACAAGUGCUAGUUGAAUAGCUGGCACCUUGACGGUACCUAACCAGAAAGCCACGGCUAACUACGUGCCAGCAGCCGCCGUAA
rnacentral:rRNA from 1 species